GACGAACGCUGGCGGCGUGCUUAACACAUGCAAGUCGAACGGUAAGGCCUUCGGGUACACGAGUGGCGAACGGGUGAGUAACACGUGGGUGAUCCGCCCCCUACUCUGGGAUAAGCCUGGGAAACUGGGUCUAAUACUGGAUAUGACCAACUUCUGCAUGGGUGUUGGUGGAAAGUUUUUUCGGUAGGGGAUGAGCCCGCGGCCUAUCAGCUUGUUGGUGGGGUAAUGGCCUACCAAGGCGACGACGGGUAGCCGGCCUGAGAGGGCGACCGGCCACACUGGGACUGAGACACGGCCCAGACUCCUACGGGAGGCAGCAGUGGGGAAUAUUGCACAAUGGGCGAAAGCCUGAUGCAGCGACGCCGCGUGGGGGAUGACGGCCUUCGGGUUGUAAACCCCUUUCAGUCGGGACGAAGCGAGAGUGACGGUACCGAUAGAAGAAGCACCGGCCAACUACGUGCCAGCCGCCGCAGUAACAC
rnacentral:rRNA from 1 species